GGCGGCGGGGACCGGGCUGGCUCGUGGUUUCCCCUGGUGCGGAGGCGAGUUGUGCUUCCUGCGGGGAGAGAGAAGGGCCUCGGGAAGCUGCUCCAUGACCCCCAGCUGUGCCGAGCCCGGGAGUCUGUCCAGGUUUCCUUGCUCUCUCAGCAGGAUGUCGAGUGCCACCAUGUCCCUGAGGUC